rnacentral:rRNA from 1 species
ACGGCUCAGUAACACGUGGACAACCUGCCCUUAGGUUGGGUAUAAACCCGGGAAACUGGGUAUAAUACCCGAUAGGUCUCGAUUGCUGGAAUGCAUCGAGAUUUAAAGCUCCGGCGCCUAAGGAUGGGUCUGCGGCCUAUCAGGUAGUAGUGGGUGUAGCGUACCUACUAGCCUACGACGGGUACGGGUUGUGAGAGCAAGAGCCCGGAGAUGGAUUCUGAGACACGAAUCCAGGCCCUACGGGGUGCAGCAGGCGCGAAAACUUUACAAUGCUGGCAACAGCGAUAAGGGAACCUCGAGUGCCAGGUUACAAAUCUGGCUGUCGAGAUGCCUAAAAAGCAUUUCAUAGCAAGGGCCGGGCAAGACCGGUGCCAGCCGCCGCGGUAACACCGGCGGCUCGAGUGGUAACCGUUAUUAUUGGGUCUAAAGGGUCUGUAGCCGGCCGGAUAAGUCUCUUGAGAAAUCUGGCAGCUUAACUGUCAGGCUUUCAGGGGAUACUGUCUGGCUCGAGGCCGGGAGAGGUGAGAGGUACUUCAGGGGUAGGGGUGAAAUCUUGUAAUCCUUGAAGGACCACCAGUGGCGAAGGCGUCUCACCAGAACGGACCUGACGGCAAGGGACGAAAGCUAGGGGCACGAACCGGAUUAGAUACCCGGGUAGUCCUAGCCGUAAACGAUACUCGCUAGGUGUCGGCCACGGUGCGACCGUUGUCGGUGCCGUAGGGAAACCGUGAAACGCGCCGCCUGGGAAGUACGGUCGCAAGGCUGAAACUUAAAGGAAUUGGCGGGGGAGCAC